rnacentral:rRNA from 1 species
ACUCCGCCUGGGGAGUACGGCCGCAAGGCUGAAACUCAAAGGAAUUGACGGGGGCCCGCACAAGCGGUGGAGCAUGUGGUUUAAUUCGAAGCAACGCGAAGAACCUUACCAGGUCUUGACAUCCUCUGAAAACCCUAGAGAUAGGGCUUCUCCUUCGGGAGCAGAGUGACAGGUGGUGCAUGGUUGUCGUCAGCUCGUGUCGUGAGAUGUUGGGUUAAGUCCCGCAACGAGCGCAACCCUUGAUCUUAGUUGCCAUC